UACGUAGGGGGCUAGCGUUGUCCGGAAUCAUUGGGCGUAAAGCGCGCGUAGGCGGCCCGGUAAGUCCGUUGUAAAAGUCAAAGGCUCAACCUUUGAAAGCCGAUGGAUACUGCCGGGCUAGAGUCCGGAAGAGGCGAGUGGAAUUCCUGGUGUAGCGGUGGAAUGCGCAGAUAUCAGGAGGAACACCGAUAGCGAAGGCAGCUCGCUGGGACGGUACUGAUGCUGAGGCGCGAAAGCGUGGGGAGCGAACAGG
rnacentral:rRNA from 1 species